rnacentral:rRNA from 1 species
GAUGAACGCUGGCGGCGUGCCUAAUACAUGCAAGUCGAGCGAACGGACGAGAAGCUUGCUUUUCUGAUGUUAGCGGCGGACGGGUGAGUAACACGUGGAUAACCUACCUAUAAGACUGGGAUAACUUCGGGAAACCGGAGCUAAUACCGGAUAAUAUUUUGAACCGCAUGGUUCAAAAGUGAAAGACGGCCUUGCUGUCACUUAUAGAUGGAUCCGCGCUGCAUUAGCUAGUUGGUAAGGUAACGGCUUACCAAGGCAACGAUGCAUAGCCGACCUGAGAGGGUGAUCGGCCACACUGGAACUGAGGCACGGUCCCGACUCCUACGGGGGGAAGCAGCAGGGAAUCUUACGCGAUGGGGGAAUGGCUGAUGGAGCAACGCCGCGUGAGUGAUGAAGGUCUUCGGAUCGUAAAACGCUGUUAUUAGGGAAGAACAUAUGUGUAAGUAACUGUGCACAUCUUGACGGUACCUAAUCAGAAAGCCACGGCUAACUACGUG